rnacentral:rRNA from 1 species
AACGAACGCUGGCGGCAUGCCUAACACAUGCGAGUCGAACGAGACCUUCGGGUCUAGUGGCGCACGGGUGCGUAACGCGUGGGAACCUGCCCUUAGGUUCGGAAUAACUCCCCGAAAGGGGUGCUAAUACCGGAUAAUGUCUUCGGACCAAAGAUUUAUCGCCUUUGGAUGGGUCCGCGUUGGAUUAGCUAGUUGGUAGGGUAAAAGCCUACCAAGGCGACGAUCCAUAGCUGGUCUGAGAGGAUGAUCAGCCACACUGGGACUGAGACACGGCCCAGACUCCUACGGGAGGCAGCAGUGGGGAAUAUUGGACAAUGGGCGAAAGCCUGAUCCAGCAAUGCCGCGUGAGUGAUGAAGGCCUUAGGGUUGUAAAGCUCUUUUACCCGGGAUGAUAAUGACAGUACCGGGAGAAUAAGCUCCGGCUAACUCCGUG